GAUUCUCAGCGUCCUCUCCGGUGGAGGACAGAAGGCAUCCCAGGGUCGCGGGAGAGCCAGCGCAAAGUGGAAGGCACCUUGUACGCUGUGAAGCGGAGAUGCAGAUGUUACCCUAACCAGAAGCCCACCCCGCCACAAAUACUGGAGCGCCCAGCAUGCGUGCGCCACCCGCUUCCCUGCAGAGGGCGCCGCGGGCCCGCCUCGCCGAGCGCGGGGUGAGAUCCCAGUAGCCCAGAGCAGCCCGCGGGGCAGGCCCGGGCUGCCGCGGACUCCUCUUGGUAAGCCUCCUGCGCCCAGAGCCUCCCCGCUGGAGCUCCACCCUCGCCCGGAGGCGGCUUGUUCACCCAGCGUGCGCCCAGGGGAGCGCCUGAGCCUGACGUGAUCCCAUUGCCCCCGAGACCCCAAGAGUGAUUGCAUUGGUUUUGCAAAAAAGGAAGGACGGAAGGGAGGGAGGGAGAUAAUACAUAAUAAUAUGUAGUUGUGAAAAAUUCAAAUAACGUGUAUUUAAAAAAUCAGUUCUUUCGGCCGGGAGCUGUGGUUCACGCCUGUAAUCCCAGCACUUUGGGAGGCCGAGGCGGACGGAUCAUGAGGUCAAGAGAUUGAGACCAUCCUGGCCAACAUGGUGAAACCCCGUCUGUACUAAAAAUACAAAAAUUAGCUGGGCAUGGUGGCAAGCGCCUGUAGUCCCAGCUGUCUGGGAGGCCGAGGCAGGAGAAUUACUUGAAUCCGGGAGGCGGAGGUUGGAGUGAGCCGAGAUUGCGCUACUGCACUCCAGCCCGGCAACAGAGCAAGACUCUGUCAUAAAUAAAUAAAUAAAUAAAUAAAUAAAUAAAUAAAUAAAAAUUAAAAAUCAGUCCUUUCUGCUGACUCCAAGUUUUAGAGCCUUACUCCUCUAAUGCAAAUUUUAAAAAUCUCUGAAUCUGCCUAUCAUCUAUAAAACCCCUGCUUACCUCUGUAAGCCCCCUACUUCAAGAUAGCCUGCCUUUUCUGCUGAACUAAUGUAUAUGUGCCCUGUAUUGAUUUCUGUCUUCGCCUGUAACUCCUGCCCUCCUGAAAUGUAUAAAACCAAACACAUGCGGCUGCCUCGGGACCACUUACUCAAGGCUUCUUGGGUUGUUUUCCGGGGGCGGAGGUUACUCAUACUGGCUUGACUAAGCCUCUCUUUCAGAUAUUUUACAGACUUUGAUUUUUCUGUUUACAGUAUUAAUCAAAAUGUUAACAUUGGUAACUUCUAGGGGUAGAAUUAUGAAUGAUUCUUGUUUCCUGAAUGUUCUACAACAUUCAGAAAUGGUGUAUUUGGGGUUGGGGGAGAAUUGUUACUAUUUUUAAAUCCCAUCUACUCUUGGGGCUGUCCUCAUUCUACAUAAACAGACUAAUUCCGGGUGGCAGCUCUGUCUUUUUAUCGUGCACGGAGAGAUUAAUCAUCUCCCACCUACACCAAGCAGCACUUUAGGUUCCCUGGGUAACAGAACUGAAGGUUUGUAUCUCAGUGACUAAUGAUUAUAAUGCCCUUGGCUACUUCCUGUAUUUUUACCAGCUCCAGGAGCAGAGAACGUUCCCUGCUGGCUUCUGGGAAAUAACAAACACAAUGGUGAUGCUAUCAAGUCUCUGUGAAUUUAAAAAAACCUUUACAAAGGGGCAUUCUUUCUGUCUUGUUUUUUUCUGUUUUGUUUUGUUUUUUGUUUUUGUUUUUUUGAGAUGGAGUCUUGCUUUGUUGCUCAGGCUGGAGUGCAGGAGCAUGAUCUCCGAUCUCGGCUAGGUGCAAACUCCUUCUCCCGGGUUCAAGCGAUUCUCCUGCCUCAGCCUCCGAAGUAGCUGGGACUACAGGCGCCCACCACAACGCCCAGCUAAUAAUGUUUCUAUUUUUAGUAGAGACAGGGUUUCGCCAUGUUAGCCAGGCUGGUCUCAAACUCCUGACCUCAAGCGACCUGCCCGCCCCGGCUUCCCAAAAUGCCGGAAUUACAGGCAUGAGCCACUGUGCCCGGCCGCAUUGUUUCUUUUUGAAUCUUCAAAAGCAAUUUUUAAAAUUUUCUUUGAUUUUUGAAGGCAGAAAACCCAAGUUCUGAUUUGAAGCUUGUUCUAAUCAACCUAGAGUCUUUUUGUCUUUGGGAGCUAUAUAGACAUUACAAGUCUCUUCCUUUCCUUCCCAGCAGAAAAGCCUUUGAUGCUGUAUUCUUAGCACAUGGAACCCUAAACCAAAGCCUGCACUGGGGCAUUUGUGAGAAGCGUGUGUGCAAAGCCUGAGAGACUCCCCUUUUGGGCAUGCUGCUGGGCAGGGGUGUUCUGGUUUGACUUUGUACAUGUCAGGCCAUCUCAAACUUGUGGCUGCAGCUGUCACUUAGAGUCGCACACCUCCUGAAUUGGUACCUCCAGCCCUGACUUCUCUUCAGUGCUCCAGACACAUGUAUUUCUCUGCUCGCCAAACAUCUUCCACACAACAAGCACUUUAAACUGAAAAUAUUCCAAAUCAAACUAAUCACAUUCUGCUUGCUAUCAGCAGCCUUCUUCACUCUCUGAUUCCUUUAUUUUGGUUAGUAGCAGUGUCAUUUACCAAACUGCUCCAGCCAAAAACCCUGGUGUCAGCCUAAACUCCACACUCUUCUUUCACCUCCAUUGUCUAAUAGUCACCAAAGUCUGUCCCCUCCUACCCUAGCAUAUCUCACCCUUCCAUUCUCUUGUUUCCAUCCCAUUGUCACUGCCCUAUUUCAGGCUCUCAUCACUUCUCACCUGGACUAGGGCAACUGCUUUCUUGUUUCCAUUAAAAAUUUUUAUUUAUAAUUGAUAAUAAGUAUACAUGUCUGUGGGUACAGUGUAAUGUUUCAAUACAUGUAUAUAUUAUGUAAUGAUCAAAUCAGAAUAGUUGUCCAUCACUUCAAGCCUUUAUCAUUUUUUUGUGAUAACUUUAAAGGUGUUUCCUAGGUAUCUUGCAAUGUACAAAGCAGUUAUUAUUGUUAUUAGCUAUAGUCACCCUACUAUGUACAGAAUACGAGAAAUUAGUUUUCCUAUCUAACUGUAACAUCCCCUCCGGAGCCUUUGGUCACCAUUGUUCUACCCUCUGCUUCUAUGAGAUCAGCUUUUAUAGAUUCCACAUGUGAGUGAGAUCAUUUGUCUUUCUGUGCUUGGCUUAUUUCACUUAACAUGAUGUCCUCCAGGUUCAUCCUCGCUGUUGCAAAUGACAGGAUUUUGUCCCUAUUUAUGACUGAAUAGUAUUGCAUAUAUAUGGAGAUAUAUAUAUAUAUAUCUCACAUUUUCUUUAUCCAUUCAUGCACUGAUGGAUACUUAGCUUGAUUUCAUCUCUUGGCUAUUGUGCUAAGCCCUUACUAUAGUGUUGCAGUGAACAUGGGAGUGCCAAUAUCUCUUUUGACUUAUUGAUUUCCAUUCCUUUGGAUAUAUAUCCAGUAGUGGAAUUGCUGAAUCAUACAGCAGUCCUAUUUUUAAUUUUUUGAGGAACUUCCGUAUUGUUUUCCAUAGUGUCUAUGCUAAUUUACAUUCCCACCAACAGCAUAUGAGUUCCCCUUUCUUCACAUCCUCAACAGUAAUUGUUAUUUUUUGUCUUUUUUUUUUUUUUUGCCAUUCUAACUGGGGUGCAGUGAUAUCUCAUUGUGGUUUUCAUUUGCAUUUCCCUAAUGAUUACUGAUGUUGAGCAUUUUUUCAUAUACAUAUAUAUAUAUAUAUAUAUGUAUGUAUGUCUUCUUUUGAGAAAUGUCUACUCAGGUCUUAUUCCCAUUUUCGAUUGGAUUAUAUGGGCUUUUUUUUUUCUUUUGCUAUUGAGUUGUUUGAAUUUCUUACAUAUUCUGUUUCUUUUUUCUUUCUUUUUUUUUUUUGAGAUGAAGUCUCACUCUUUUCACCCAGGCUGGAGUGCAGUGGUGUGAUCUUGGCUCACUGCAACCUCUGUCUCCUGGGUUCAAGCAAUUCUCCUACCUCAGCCUCCCAAGUAGCUGGGAUUACAGGUGCCCACCACCAUACCCACCUAGUUUUUGCAUUUUUAGUAGAGACGGGUUUUCACCACAUUGGGCAGGCUGGUCUCGAUCUCCUAACCUCAGGUGAUCCACCCACCUCGGCCUCCCAAAGUGCUAGAAUUGAAUUUCUUACAUAUUCUGAAUAUUAACCCAUUACACCAGUGCAUAGUUUGCAGACAUUUUUUUCCAAUUUUGUAGGUUGCCUCUUUGUUGAUGGUUUCCUUUGCUGUGCAUAAGCUUUACAGUUUAAUGUAAUCCCAUUUGUCUAUUUUUGCUUUUGUUGCCUGUGCUUUCGAGGUUUUUUCCAAAAAAUUCUUGCCCAGACCAAUGUCAUGAAGCAUUUCUCCUAUGUUGUACUCUAGUAGUUUUAUAGUUUUAGGUCUUCCGUUUACAUCUUCAUUCCAUUUUGAGUUGAUUUUUGUAUAUGGUGAGAAAUAGGUGUCUAGUUUCAUUCUUCUGCAUGUGGAUAUCCAGCUUCCCCAGCACCAUUUAUUGAAGAAACUGUCAUUUUGGGGUAACUGCUUUCUAACAGGUCUCUGGGGUUUGGUAUUACUGCGCCAGAACCCUUUCAUAUAGCUGUCAGAGAGAUGGCAGUGGAACAGCUCAGUUUAUAUCUCUCUGCUCUUUAAACCUAUCUGAUGAUUCUUCAUUGCCAGUAGGAUAAAGUCCAAACACCUUGGCUUGUCAUAUCAAGUCCUUUCCCAUCUGGUGCCCAUCAUCCCAGCUACCUCCUCUGAUACUCUCUACCAUGCAUCCUAUGAUUGCCUCCCAAUUUUACAUUCUCUUCAUCUUCCUGAUUAAAAUAGUGAUUGCUGAUUACAUGUCCUCUCUUUUGCAGUUAGAUGUGGCCAGGUGACAAAGUUCUGUACAGUGGAAUGUAAACAGAAGUAUCAUGUGAGAGUUUCCAAGAACUUUUUCAGGAGGGAGGAAACACAUGUCCUUUGCCCUCCCUUUUUGUUUGCUGCCUUCUCCAUCCUAUAGCCUGGAAUACAGACAUGAUGGCUACCAUCUUGGACUAUGAACAUGAGGAUCACACCCAAGGGAAGGAGAGGCAGCAAGCUGGAAGGUACUAUGGAGCAGAACUGCCACAGCCUGAGUACCUACCUCUGGAACUUUCUGUGAGAAAUGAAAUGGGCCCAACAGUUCCAUAAACAGUUGUUUUGGGAUAAACAUAGAAAUGGCCCCUAGCUUGAAAUUUGCAUUUGUUUUAUCUGAGUUCCCUCCUCAGGAAAGGACCUUCAGGCCUCUCAAAAAAGUAUCAAGAGAACUGACACCAGAUGCCUCCUUGCCCCUCCCUAGUUCCUGUUUUCUUAAACAUUGUUACAUAUCUUCCCUGCUAUGUAAGCCCCUAGAUUUAGUCAGUCAGGGAGAUGGAUUUGAGACUGAGCUCUCAUAACUUGGCUGCAGCACCCGAUUAAAGCCUUCUUCCUUGGCAAUACUUAUUGUCUCAGUGAUUGGCUUUCUGUGCGUCAGUACCUAGACUGAACCCCUGGUGUUUCCAUAACUUGGUCAAGCCACUGUUAUUCUGAGUAUCUGUCCCUUGCUGCUGUGCCUAAUCCUAAUUGACACAGAAUUUGGUACCAGAUCUGGGAUGCUACAGGUCACUCCAUGCUUAUGUUUUUCUUUCUUUAUGUUCAUAAGAAUUCAAGAAGCUAGCCAACCCCACUAUCUUUGAAUUAUUCACUCUUGCCAUGAAGAUUUAUUACCAUAGCCACUUGGCCUUCCAGCGUUUUGAUUUCCAUGGAUACUUUUUCUCCCAGGUGACUACAAGUGACAAUGUAUUUAUUUUGAGAUGGAUUUUCACUCUUCUUGCCCAGGCUGGAGUGCAAUGGUGCGAUCUUGGCUCACUGCAACUUCUGGCUCCUGGGUUCGAGAGAUUCUCCUGCCUCAGCCUCCUGAGUAGCUGGGAUUACAGGCAUCUGCAACCACUCCUGGCUAAUUUUUGUAUUUUUAGUAGAGACGGGGUUUCAGCAUGUUGGCCAGGCUGGUCUCAAAUUCCUGACCUCAGGUGAUCCACCCUCCUCGGCCUCCCAAAGUGCUGGGAUUACAGGCAUGAACCACCAUGCCUGGCCUACAAGUGAUAAUUUAAAUAACUGUUCUGCCACUGCAUACCACAGACUGGUAGGCCUUCCAAAGUAGAUCUGUUUGGCAGAAUCACAUCCAGAACCAUAGCUUCAAGGAAUUCUGGAAACGUGGCUUUAUUUCUAGAUCUGUAGAACAGGCAGAACACUGGGAACAGAUGUUGAGUGAGUCGAUCCAGAGUGUCUGGUAAACAUGUCUCAAUCCAGCCUCAUGAGAUAAGUCAUUCUUUGCCAGACUUGCCAAGAUGGUAAGGCUUCCUUUAAGUCAUUUCUGCAUUUCCUUCUGCCCUGAAUCUUAUCUUCCUCCCUCCCUCCUUUCUCUGCUUUGUGAGCUUAUGCUACUCUUUCAAUAUCCAAAUCCAACAUCAUCCUUAGCAAAGCAAAUCCAUGCUGGUUGCUGCUGGCUCUGAGUAGCACUUUGAACAAUCUUUGGUUAACAUUCUUAGAGGAAUCAUAUUUAUUGAUUACAGAUCUCUUUUUCCUGAUAAAAUGUGCCCUCCUUGAGAACAGGAAUAUAAGCAGCUGUCAUUGCAUCUGACCCUUUCUGCAUUUCUAUUUGUAUUCUCAGUCUGGCAAGGUGGAGUUGCUGAGGCAAUGUUUGUCGAACUCGUGAAUAUUGAUAAUGGCUCCAAAGCUGCCUCCUCUCUUAGACCAGAGGGUUAAGAGUAUGUAGACUCCGGCUAUGUGGUAGCUCAUGCCUCUAAUCUCACUGAAGGAGCCUCAUUGUCUGGGGUAAAUACCAGGGUCCUUGGUCUCACAGUCAAGGAAAUUGAGGUCACAGACACACACACAGAGUGAGAUUGGAGCAGGAGUUUAAUAGGCAAAAGGAAAGAACAGCUCUCUGUCACAGAGAGGGGUCCAGAGCAGGUUGUCAAGUUUUAGUAAAAAUGUCAGGGUUGGCCAGGUACGGUGGCUCACACCUGUAAUCUUAGCACUUUGGGAGGCUGAGGCGGGCAGAUCACGAGGUCAAGAGAUCGAGACCAUCCUGGCCAACAUGGUGAAACCCUGUCUCUACUAAAAAUACAAAAAUUAGCUGGGUGUGGUGGUGCGUACCUGUAGUCCCAGCUACUCGGAAGGCUGAGGCAGGAGAAUUGCUUGAACCUGGGAGGCGGAGGUUGCAGUGAGCCAAGAUCAUGCCACUGCACUCCAGCCUGGCGACAGAGCAACUCUCUCUUA
rnacentral:lncRNA from 1 species